UACAGAGGGGCAAGCGUUAUUCGGAAUUAUUGGGCGUAAAGGGCGCGUAGGCGGCCUGGCAAGUGGAUGGUGAAAUCCCUCGGCUUAACCGAGGAACUGCCAUCCAGACUGCUUGGCUUGAGACCGGGAGAGGUGAGUGGAAUUCCCAGUGUAGCGGUGAAAUGCGUAGAUAUUGGGAGGAACACCAGUGGCGAAGGCGGCUCACUGGACCGGUACUGACGCUGAUGCGCGAAAGCGUGGGGAGCAA
rnacentral:rRNA from 1 species